rnacentral:lncRNA from 1 species
UUAGGCGAAGUAUUUCUUGACUGCAUCAGAAUUCACAGGACGAGUGAACUUCUUCAUCCAUUGCUGUAAGUGUCAAAGCACUGCCUGAAGAGGCUCUUUUGAAAACAUAUGGACUUUCAUAGCUUGGAGUUCACUUGCCCCUGGAAUCGGGCACGAAAGACAAGACUUUCUUGAGCACAAGGUCCCUCGGAACACACGAGGCUUGAUCUUCUUGUCGAAUGCUUUCAUCACUCUCUGCUGAUAUGACUGACCAUGACACAUGGCAGUUGAUCUCUUCCUUUCGAUCGAAUUCAGCAUCAGUCAACUUGGGACUUUGAGGGUGCUAUCUUUCUUUUGUUUUUUUUUCCUUUGAUUUUGCUUUUGAUUUUGCUUUCUUUUAAUUUCUUUUGAUUUUGCACCCUCCUCUUUCUUUCUUUUUUUUUCAUUUUUUUUUUAUAAUGCCCCAGUUGGCUGUUCUGCUGAUUCUCGAGAUGCAGCUGAGUGUGAUCUUCUUUUCUCGCUCAAGAAGUCGGGAAAUCUCGUCAGGAAUCCCUUCAACAUCAUCUUUGUCCGCUUCGAAUACAGGGAAUUCAAAAUUGGGAGAUGACGUCCGAUCAUUAUGUUCAAUGGGUUUGAGAAACGACCUGCAUAAAGAUUUUGAUAUGAAAAGCACUUUGAAAAUCAAACAAGACAAUCGUUAUGCAGAUGAAAAGAUUGCUUUUAUUCUUGUUUUUUUAGGGUUUUUUGUGAUCACCAAUUUCAUGCAAAAAGCGAAAAGGGAAAACAAAUGGAAAAACAAA